CUCACUGUGAAAUUGUCUUUUCCCUGCUGAAAAUGAAUCCUUGUGUGAGCAUCUAAGUCUGGUCCUCUGUGCUUUAAUAAAAAUAGCUGAUAUCAUAAUAUCAGAGUAAGAUACAGUCUGGAUGAUAUCCAAUAAAUAUCAGGCAGGAAGAAAAAUAAAGCCUGCUAGGGGUGUUAAGGCUAACUAGCAUGGCAGCUGAUAAAGGGGAUGAACGGUUUUCCUAUAAUGAUAAGUUGCUUUUCAACCACUAGUACAUUGAGCAGUGCAUACACGAGUGUGAUUGACAGCGCCAAGACACUCCUUCAUGGUGACUUCAUGGUAACAGGUUUAGCAAAUAUGCAAUAACAUAUUUUUGUAAAAGUUACAUACUGCAAUUUUAAUGCCAGUAAAGACGUUUCCAUUUGUUCUCUGAAAAUAAAAUGUAAACAAAAUCAAUAUUUUUUUUGUUGGAAACAGCCUUGUUUCUCAAAUUAAAGUGUGAAUCCUAUGUGUUUUUUCCUAUGCUAUCAUGUUUUUGUACUCCACUACAGUGAAACAUUUAGUACACAAUACUGUAACAGAGGUCAGCAGUUAUAAAAAUUGCAAUAUGGGUGUUGAUAAAGGCUUUUGACUGUUGUCAGCAACAAUAAAACACUGUCCUAUCUCUUCUUAGUUGUACAAAACUGCACUGCAAUCACUCUGUUAUCAUCCAGUCAUCCUUUUAAUAACAACUAGUGGGUUUCUUAUAAACCACGGAGCUUCUCAGAACAGAAAGUGAAAGUACAAAAACCUCUCUGACCUGUUUGUUCUUUUAGCAGACUCAGUUAGUGUUUAACUCCACAGCAGCAGAAACACAGCAGAGGUAACCAAAACAUGAGGAAUCCUGUAGCUAAAGUUCAGACAAUCACUACAGGGGAAACCUUUGGAGCAGAUGUGGAUCUGAUGAACCAAGUCAUCCAAAAGGAUACAAGUCGGGAUGCACAACACAUCAUCCUUUUCUGUCCAAUCACAUCUCGUGUUGGCUCAGAUGUGCAGGCAGCCCUGGAAAAAGUCCCAUAUGGUCGAAGAAUCAUCCUGGUUUUGAUGCACCACACCCGAGAUGCUGACUACUCAACGGCUGGGAUAAAGUGGUCAGAAUGCACUGAAAACGUUGUCCUGGAUGUUCACGUUUUCUUCCAUGAAAGUGUCCCAGGAUUACUGAGCUGUGCACAAAAUCACAAGGCAGUGCUGGAAAUAAGACAUUUUUUAGAAGGACACAAAAAGAAUUCAGAUCAGAAUUGGGCUUUGGUUGGGUAUGGCUAUUGGCUAUUGUGUUGUGUUUUUUCUUGGGUCUUGUCUGAUGACAGGUUUUGGAUGAGGCUCUGGAACUGGUUCUGGCAUCUAGACAGGCUUUGGGUGAGGCUUGUGAUUUGGUUUGGUACUCAGCUUUCUCGUUUGAUUUCAGUUUUGCUGUUCUAUGUAAGAAAACCAAAAGUUAUUAAAGACAGACUUCCUUAAUACCAUCAUUAACUCUACAACUUGUUUGUAAAUACAAGUUAUUAAUGUCUCUUACACACAAAGUCAUUACAAAAUUGUCUAUAUGAACACAGGCACAGUUAUAGGCAGAGACUAGAGAACAGCUCAGCCAGAGUUACUAUAUUUGUAGUCACAGAUACUUAUCUUACUUGCUUCUAUGUCAAAAUAAAGUGUUUAUGAUUGUGAUGCUGGUAUAAUAAACUGUCUAUUUAGUUGCUUUUUACUGAAGGUCAACUAGACCCUUUGAAUGAAUGAAUUCUCGUGACUCUUCUUAAUGCAUGUUGUAACCUUGAAUUAGACCUUUGCCUAUAACUAUUGCAACAUGAUAUUUGGGAACUGUUUCCUCUGAAAAAUGAUCAAUAAAGUUUAAAGAACAAUAGAA